rnacentral:lncRNA from 1 species
UAGAUCUCAUUUCCUUCCUGUUUCUCGAGUUUGGUCUCUCUAGAAAAUCUCCCAUCUCCUUUUCUUUUCUCACAAUCUGCACAAUAUAAUGAAAAGAGUAAAUCAAAGUGAAUCUUUUCUCACAAUCUGCACAAUAUAAUGAAAAGAGUAAAUCAAAGUGAAUCUUUUCUCACAAUCUGCACAAUAUAAUGAAAAGAGUAAAUCAAAGUGAAUCUUUUCUCACAAUCUGCACAAUAUAAUGAACAGAGUAAAUUAAAGUGAAAUUAAACAGAUUCAGGUCUAAGAAAUUAAAUAAUUAAUAAAAUAGUAAAUUUAGGAACAGAUUGAGGUCUAAGAAAUUAAAUAAUUAAUAAAAUAGUAAAAUAAGGAAAAUUUGGGAAAAUAUAGAAAAAGUAGGAAAUACUAGAAACAAAUAUAACUAUUGAAACAAUAAGUAAAUACUCAUUAACAGUAUUUGUAAAGAACACAUAAAUACUCAUUAAUAAUAUAAUAACUCAAUUUUAAUUUUUCUUUAUUUUCUUAUUUUUUCUGAUUUUAUUUAGGAUUCACUUUUUAGCCAUUGCAAAUUACAACAUUAAAAGCUAAAACUAUAUAAGUAUAUAAAAGAAAACCGAAGAAUAAAAAGAAAAACAGAAAGUUUUUCUCUAUUUUUUCCUUUUUUUUAUUUCCGUUUUUUCUUUUUAAAUUUUAUUUUAUUUUUUCUGUUUUUUUAGAUUUUCUAAUUGCCGUAUUCUGCAUUUUCGAUUUCCCAUUCCAAAAAUUGAAAACAGAAAUAUAGAAAAGCAAACAAAAAUGCCCCAUAUGUAUUCACUUUGUUUUUUUGCAUUUCCAUUUUUUUUGUUGGUUUAUAUUUUACAAAACAUAAACUAAAACAGAAAUUGCAAUUUCAAUUUUCUCCUUAUUUCAUUGUUUGGAUUUUAUUUAUGAUUCAUCGUCUAAGCCCUUUUAAAGUUCAAUAUCAAAAGUUAAAACUAAUAUAUUAAAAAAAAACCAAAAAGAUAGGGUUUGCUCAAAUUUUUAUAUUUUCGGGUAGUAAUUUGAGGGGUUUUAACAAAUUGUAAAACCUUCUUUAAUAACCUAAAAUUGAAACCCAAUAGAAAAAACAAACAAAACUAUAAAACCCUAAUUCUUGAUCUAAACCUAAAUUGGAAACAAAUGUUUCCUUAUUUUCCUAUUUUAUAAGCCCAAAGCACUAAAUAUUAAAUACUACUGAAUAUUUCAAUAAAAAACUCACCUGGACCUGUUGAAGCUGGCCGCCGGAACCAGCAGAAACUUGCCUGAGAAGCUUCUGGCUUUUCUUCAUUUUUGAAUCUUGAGAAAAAGAGGGGAACGAUAAAACCUUUCUUUCUCACUCUUAUUUAAAUAGAAAAGUUUUC